UUGAAGCACCAGUUCCCAUAUUAUCACCAAAGUUAAGCAACACUGAGCCUGGUCAGUAUCUAGAUGGGUGACAAUUUGGGAAUACCAAAUGCUGUAAG